GCCGCCAUAUAUAAACGGUCGCCGGGGCGGGCGGCCGCCAUUCUGGGCUUCGUGUAGAGGUGUGAAUUUCUUCGGAGGAGAGCGAGAGCCCGCCCGUAAGGAGAAGCGAGCAGCCGCAACAAGAAGAGCAGCCACGCCCUUAACCUAAGGAUCCUGAGCGGGGGGGAAAGCAGCACCCACCAACCCAACCACUUGUAUCUUCUUCCAACUCCCCCCCCCCCCCUUCCUUCCCCCACGAGCCCACGCUGCUUGGGACCCCAAUCUGUGGCCGAAGGACCAGCACCACAAAAACCUCUCAAAUACUCUUAUCACCAACCAACUUUUCCUCAGAAAAACCCCCCAAGUCCUCCCAUCCAGCGUCCGAUCUAUUUUUGUUUUUCCUCGUUCCCCCCCACCCCCAUCGAAGUGGGGUGGGGAGAGGGAGAGAUGAAUCCUGAAUUGGCUCUAUUUUUCAAGAGACUUUUUGAGCCACGAGUCCCCCUCAAGUAAUUUGAGCUUGGGGUUCUGGUUGGUUUUUCUGGGGUUUUUUUCUUUUUUUCCCUCAAAUCCUAACCCCCCCCCCCACAACCCUGAUCCCGAGGUGCUGACGUCGCAAAAAAAUUGGAUAGUAAGUGUCGAAUUUUCCAAACAAAGAGAUCCUCCUUUCCCAUUGUGAAACCAAAAACGUAAUGAGAGGAAGAAAUGCGAUCUUAGACCAAAAAAAAGUUGGCAGAGCCGACUGAUCGGGUCCUUUAAAGUCUCCUGGGGAGAAAAACCAAAAAUAAGGCGGGUCUUGUUUCUUCCCUGCCUCGGUACUGGCUUGGAGAGGGUCGGGGGUUUUUACAGUGAGGUUCUUUACGGUUAACCCUUGGAAAUACAGCCAAUUUUCCAAACUGCCAUGACCUAGGAGUGCGAGCUCUUUUGAUAAGGAGGAACGGGUCGCCUUACUCCGGAUCCCAGCAGUCUUUUUGAAGGGGUUAAUGAGCUCACAUACAAAAGAUGGUGGAUCUUGAGGCAUAAAGUCCCACUUUGUGUGUGAGACAAAUGGGCGCCUUUGACAGAUACAUGAGCAAUCUGUACAUAAAGAUUGCAGGGUAAGGAGAUAAGCAGAGAAAUGUCCAAGAGCGUAGGCCAUUAUGGCUUAAGAAGAAAAAAAAUUGCUCAAAAUAUUUCUUUGGAUUCGGGUGUAUACUGCUUUGAUGUCUAUAUUUGUGUGUUUGGCAUUGGUGGCAAACUAGGAAUAAAGAUUGCAAGACAAGCCGGCAUAAAACGGCUAGCACAAAAAUGGAUAGGUAGAAAGGUAAAGAACGCCUUGUAAUUAUUGCAGUUUUAGGAGCAAAAAUUGGUGAUGACAAUUCGAUUUUUUUAGCCGAGGGUGGGGGAGAAUAGCAGGGUUGUAAAGUGAAGAAAACUGACCUGGGGGAGUAAUUUAUUUGAACGGCCAUUUAGUAACAUUGAAUGCUAGAUUUCUAAAGUGUCAUUUAAAGGAAAAUUUCUUUAAA